AUUGAACGCUGGCGGCAUGCUUUACACAUGCAAGUCGAACGGUAACAGGGUGCUUGCACCGCUGACGAGUGGCGAACGGGUGAGUAAUGCGUCGGAACGUGACGAGUAGUGGGGGAUAACGCAGCGAAAGUUGUGCUAAUACCGCAUACGUACUGAGGUAGAAAGGGGGGGACCGUCGGGCCUCAGGCUAUUCGAGCGGGCGCCGUCUGAUUAGCUAGUAGGGGAGGUAAAGGCUGACCUAGGCGACGAUGAGUAGCGGGUCUUAGGGGAUUCUCCGCCAGACGGGGACUGGGACACGGACCAGACUCAUACGGGAGGCAGCAGUGGGGAAUUUUGGACAAUGGCGAAAGCCUGAUCCAGCCAUGCCGCGUGUCUGAAGAAGGCCUUCGGGUUGUAAAGGACUUUUGUCAGGGAGGAAAUCCCUAGUGCUAAUAACACUGGGGGAUGACAGUACCUGAAGAAUAAGCACCGGCUAACUACGUGCCAGCCGCCGCAGUAA
rnacentral:rRNA from 1 species